rnacentral:rRNA from 1 species
AUUGAACGCUCACGGCAGGCCUAACACAUGCAAGUCGAACGAGUGGCGGACGGGGUAGUAAUGUCUGGGAAACUGCCUGAUGGAGGGGGAUAACUACUGGAAACGGUAGCUAAUACCGCAUACCAUCGUAUGUACCCAGAUGGGGUUAGCUAGUAGGUGGGGUAAAGGCUCACCUAGGCGACGAUCUCUAGCUGGUCUGAGUGGAUGACGAGCCACGCUGGGACUGAGACACGGGCCAGACGCCUACGAGAGGAAGCAGUGGGGAAUAUUGCACAAUGGUCGGCAGCCUGAUGCAGCCAUGCCGCGUGUAUGAAGAAGGCCUUUGGGUUGUAAAGUACUUUCAGCGGGGAGGCGUUACCCGCAUAAGAAGCACCGGCUAACUCCGUGCCAGCCGCCGCGGUAAUUC